rnacentral:rRNA from 1 species
GACUACAUGAAGCUGGAAUCGCUAGUAAUCGCGAAUCAGAAUGUCGCGGUGAAUACGUUCCCGGGUCUUGUACACACCGCCCGUCACACCAUGGGAGUCAGUAACGCCCGAAGCCGGUGACCCAACCAAACGGAGGGAGCCGUCGAAGGUGGGACCGAUAACUGGGGUGAAGUCGUAACAAGGUAUC